rnacentral:misc_RNA from 1 species
UACAGAGGUCCCGAGCGUUGUCCGGAUUUAUUGGGUUUAAAGGGUGCGUAGGCGGAUAAUUAAGUCAGUGGUGAAAGCCGACAGCUCAACUGUCGAACCGCCAUUGAUACUGGUUGUCUUGAGUAUAGUUGAGGCAGGCGGAAUUUACGAUGUAGCGGUGAAAUGCAUAGAUAUCGUAAAGAACACCGAUAGCGAAGGCAGCUUGCUAAACUAUAACUGACGCUGAGGCACGAAAGCAUGGGGAGCGAACAGG